CAGGGCGUCCCAGAGGGUGAGAUUUCUUUUGUUUUUUUUUCUUCGAUUCCAUGUGAAGCCCUUUCGACGAGUCGAGUUGUUUGGGAAUGCAGCUCUAAAUGGGUGGUAAAUUUCAUCUAAAGCUAAAUAUCUGCCAGAGACCGAUAGCGCACAAGUAGAGUGAUCGAAAGAUGAAAAGCACUUUGAAAAGAGAGUCAAACAGUACGUGAAAUUGUUGAAUUUUUUUGUGGCAAUCAGACUCGUUUGCGGAAGCUCAGCCUUCCUCCGGGUUGGUGUAUUCUUCUGUCAUCGGGCCAGCAUCAGUUUCGACGGCUGGAUAAAGGUUUCGGGAAUGUAGCUCCUUUCGAAGAGUGUUAUAGCCCGGGGUACAAUGCGAUCGCCGGGCCGAGGACCGCG
rnacentral:rRNA from 1 species